rnacentral:rRNA from 1 species
UUGAGGCGUGGCUUCCGGAGCUAACGCGUUAAGUCGACCGCCUGGGGAGUACGGCCGCAAGGUUAAAACUCAAAUGAAUUGACGGGGGCCCGCACAAGCGGUGGAGCAUGUGGUUUAAUUCGAUGCAACGCGAAGAACCUUACCUGGUCUUGACAUCCACGGAAGUUUUCAGAGAUGAGAAUGUGCCUUCGGGAACCGUGAGACAGGUGCUGCAUGGCUGUCGUCAGCUCGUGUUGUGAAAUGUUGGGUUAAGUCCCGCAACGAGCGCAACCCUUAUCCUUUGUUGCCAGCGGUCCGGCCGGGAACUCAAAGGAGACUGCCAGUGAUAAACUGGAGGAAGGUGGGGAUGACGUCAAGUCAUCAUGGCCCUUACGACCAGGGCUACACACGUGCUACAAUGGCGCAUACAAAGAGAAGCGACCUCGCGAGAGCAAGCGGACCUCAUAAAGUGCGUCGUAGUCCGGAUUGGAGUCUGCAACUCGACUCCAUGAAGUCGGAAUCGCUAGUAAUCGUGGAUCAGAAUGCCACGGUGAAUACGUUCCCGGGCCUUGUACACACCGCCCGUCACACCAUGGGAGUGGGUUGCAAAAGAAGUAGGUAGCUUAACCUUCGGGAGGGCGCUUACCACUUUGUGAUUCAUGACUGGGGGUGAAGUCGUAACAA